AGUUACCAGCACGUUAUGGUGGGCACUCUAAGGAGACUGCCGGUGACAAACCGGAGGAAGGUGGGGAUGACGUCAAGUCAUCAUGGCCCUUACGGGCCUGGGCUACACACGUGCUACAAUGGUCGGUACAAAGGGUUGCCAAGCCGCGAGGUGGAGCUAAUCCCAUAAAACCGAUCGUAGUCCGGAUCGCAGUCUGCAACUCGACUGCGUGAAGUCGGAAUCGCUAGUAAUCGUGAAUCAGAAUGUCACGGUGAAUACGUUCCCGGGCCUU
rnacentral:rRNA from 1 species